rnacentral:rRNA from 1 species
UGCCAGCCGCCGCGGUAAUACGGAGGGUGCAAGCGUUGUUCGGAAUUAUUGGGCGUAAAGCGCGUGUAGGCGGUUCGUUAAGUCUGAUGUGAAAGCCCGGGGCUCAACCCCGGCACUGCAUUUGAAACUGCGAGACUAGAGGAUAGACGGAGAAGUAGAAUUCCAUAUGUAGCGGUGAAAUGCGUAGAUAUAUGGAGGAAUACCGGUGGCGAAGGCGACUUUCUAGUUUAUUCCUGACGCUGAGGUAUGAAAGCUAGGGGAGCAAACAGGAUUAGAUA